AACAAUGCUCCAGAAAUCCCAUUAUGCGCGUAUCAACUCCCGAACGGCUCGAAUCUACCAUAAUUAAUUUUAUUCAGUCUAUAUAAUUCAUAGGAAUUAAUUCCAUAUCAAAAUGCUAAUAUUUUGACAAAAUCCGAAAUUACGCCCCAAAAAUUACCCGUGGGGCCCACGUCUCGAACUCCAACGAAAGUUACAAAAUAUUAACGCCCAUUCAACCACGAGUCCAACCAUAUAAAUUUUACUCAAAUCCGACAUCAACUCGACCCUCAAAUCUCCAAAUUAAACCAAGAGGGUUUUCACAAAUUUUCCAACUUAAUUCACCAAUUACAUGUUAAAAACAAUCAUGAAUUCGGGUAAUUUAAUCAAUAUUAAAUUAAGAACACUUACCCCGUUAUUUUUCUAAAAAUCUUCCAAAAAUCGCCUCUUCCCGAGCUCUAAUCCGUCAAAAAUGUUUUCUAAACUUAAACUUUCUGUCCAGACCUCUAUUCUUCGCGAACGCGACAGAUCCCUCGCGUUCGCGAAGAGCAAAAUGUGCUUCCCAACAUUUGCUCUUCACGAACGCGAGACACUGUUUGCGAACGCGAUGCUUUACGGAGCCCUUCUUCGCGAACGCGAGCUCCCCUUCACGAACGCGAAGGCAAAAACCCAUGCCCACUAUGUUUUCCUUCGCGAACGCGAUACCCCAUACGCGAAUGCGGUGCACAACCCAGCUUCUCUUCGCAAACGCGAGACCCCUUCGCGAAUGCGAAGAGUAAAUCCUGCCAGCCACAAAUUUCUCUUCGCGAACGCGAGGCUCCACUCGCGAAUGCGAAAGAGAAAAUCCGAAAAAUACAGCAAUAGAUAUCAGCAAUCUCACCAAGGCGAAAAAUGAUCCGUUAACCAUCCAAAACUCACCCGAGCCCCUCGGAACCUCAACCAAAUAUACCAAUAAGUCCUAAAAUAUCUUACGGACUUAGUCGAACCCUCAAAUCACCUCAAACAAAGCUAAAACUAUGAAUUACACCCCAAUUCAAACCUAAUGAACUUUAAAAUUUCUAGUUUCUACAAAUGACUCCGGAACCUAUCAAUUCACGUCCGAUUGACCUCAAAUUUUGUACACAAGUCAUAAACGACAUAACAGACUAUGAAAAUUUUCAGAACUGAAUUCCGACCUUGAUAUCAAAUAGUCAACCCCCCGGUCAAACUUUUCAAAAUUCAACUUUUGACAUUUCAAGUCUAAUUCCACUACGGGCCUCCAAAUAAUUUUUCGAACACGCUUCUAAGUCCAAAAUCACCAUACGGAGCUAUUGGGAUCAUCAUAAUUAAAUUUCGGAGUGGUUUACACAUAAGUCAAUAUCCGGUCAACUAUUUCAAUUUAAGCUUCCAACAUGAAAAUUCAUUCUUCCAAACUAACUACGAAAUAUCUUAAAAACAAAACCAAUAAUUUACACAAGUCAUAAUACCUCGUAGGAAGUUAUUCAAGACUUCAAAUAGUUGAAAGAAGCGUAAUUGCUCAAAACGACCGGUCGGAUCGUUAUGUCAGGCUACCUAUGAUCUUAUCAAAUACUUCCCCGUAUUUCUUUCUUCCCAGUUCAUGAAACGUUCAUCAAUUAAUCAAUUUUAUGAUAAUAAAAUAAUUCAUGUCUAAUGAUAUUCAUUAUAAUUAAACACCAACAUUACCACAAUGUAACUCAAGUCAAUGAUUUUGUAUAUAAUAUUACUAGUUAAAAGUAAAAUUAAGAAUACACUGUUACCUCUUUCUUUUAUUCACUGUGUGAGUUUUGUUUCUGCGUAUACCUAAACUGAAUCGAGGUGAAAUUCCUCUUCCUGUUCCCUUGUAAAACUUAUUGCCAGAGGACUCCAUUCCCUCUUAAUUUCCUUGUAAUGCUUUCUGCAUAUGAUGGUAAAUAUUUCUUUUGCAGAGGCUUCGUGGCUCCUCCUCAGAUUUCCUUGUUUCAGAUUCUUUAUAUUUGGAGUAAAGUUCUCCACUACCCUAGUUCAU
rnacentral:lncRNA from 1 species